rnacentral:lncRNA from 1 species
AUUAAUUUUCCAUACAAUCUUAGGAAGUAAAUAUUAAUAUUUUCAUUUUCCAGAAAAUAUAAAAGCAAUCAUUGACUCAAAGGCAGCAUCUUGGUAUCUCAGAAGGAUUUAAGUAUUGUCCCAAACCAUAGAAUCAUUGUUUGUUUUCUUCCUCUAGAGAAAAAGGGAAAAUCUGUGACACCUUACCUCUUGAGAGACAUUUCCUGUGGAGAAGUCACACUGGGAGAGAAACAGGUGCUGGAAGGCUGCUCCUACAAGAGACCAUUAGCCUCAGAAAAUGAUUCUCGUCUCCUUUCGAGCUGCUUCCUGCUACUUUGAUGACUCCACAUCGUUUUUCUUUUUAACCUGCUAGCAGGAAUCUGCACAUUCUUGAUCCUCAGAUCUCAGUUUGAGAUGUUCUUCUCAGGAUGAAGCUAGAUGAAAUUGGAAUAAAACUAGUACAGUAAGUAAUUCA